rnacentral:rRNA from 1 species
AGGAUAAACGCUGGCGGCGUGCCUAAUACAUGCAAGUCGAGCGGCAGCGCGGUCUUCGGACUGGCGGCGAGCGGCGGACGGCUGAGUAACACGUAGGAACGUACCCCAAAGUGAGGGAUAAGCACCAGAAAUGGUGUCUAAUACCGCAUGUGCUCUAAGGAGUAAAGCUUCGGCGCUUUGGGAACGGCCUACGCAUGAUUAGCUUGUUGGUGAGGUAAUGGCUCACCAAGGCGACGAUCAUUAGCUGGUCUGAGAGGAUGAUCAGCCAGACUGGGACUGAGAACGGCCCAGACUCCUACGGGAGGCAGCAGUAGGGAAUUUUCCACAAUGGGCGAAAGCCUGAUGGAGCAACGCCGCGUGCAGGAUGAAGGCCUUAGGGUUGUAAACUGCUUUUAUGUGUGACGAAUAUGACGGUAGCAUAUGAAUAAGGAUCGGCUAACUCCGUGCCAGCAGCCGCGGU